rnacentral:rRNA from 1 species
UACGGGGGGGCAAGCGUUGUUCGGAAUUACUGGGCGUAAAGGUCUGUAGGUGGCCAACUAAGUCAGACGUGAAAUCCCUCAGCUUAACUGGGAACUGCGUCUGAUACUGGUUGGCUUGAGUGCAGGAGAGGAAUGCGGAAUUCCAGGUGUAGCGGUGAAAUGCGUAGAUAUCUGGAGGAACACCGGUGGCGAAGGCGGCAUUCUGGACCGAGACUGACGCUGAGGCGCGAAAGCGUGGGGAGCAAACAGGG